AACUCUGGUAUUGAUUGGUGCUUGCAUCAUGAUUUACAUUUGAGUGAGUGGCGAACUGGUGAGUAACACGUGGGAAACCUGCCCAGAAGCGGGGGAUAACACCUGGAAACAGAUGCUAAUACCGCAUAACAACUUGGACCGCAUGGUCCGAGCUUGAAAGAUGGCUUCGGCUAUCACUUUUGGAUGGUCCCGCGGCGUAUUAGCUAGAUGGUGGGGUAACGGCUCACCAUGGCAAUGAUACGUAGCCGACCUGAGAGGGUAAUCGGCCACAUUGGGACUGAGACACGGCCCAAACUCCUACGGGAGGCAGCAGUAGGGAAUCUUCCACAAUGGACGAAAGUCUGAUGGAGCAACGCCGCGUGAGUGAAGAAGGGUUUCGGCUCGUAAAACUCUGUUGUUAAAGAAGAACAUAUCUGAGAGUAACUGUUCAGGUAUUGACGGUAUUUAACCAGAAAGCCACGGCUAACUACGUGCCAGCAGCCGCGGUAAUACGUAGGUGGCAAGCGUUGUCCGGAUUUAUUGGGCGUAAAGCGAGCGCAGGCGGUUUUUUAAGUCUGAUGUGAAAGCCUUCGGCUCAACCGAAGAAGUGCAUCGGAAACUGGGAAACUUGAGUGCAGAAGAGGACAGUGGAACUCCAUGUGUAGCGGUGAAAUGCGUAGAUAUAUGGAAGAACACCAGUGGCGAAGGCGGCUGUCUGGUCUGUAACUGACGCUGAGGCUCGAAAGUAUGGGUAGCAAACAGGAUUAGAUACCCUGGUAGUCCAUACCGUAAACGAUGAAUGCUAAGUGUUGGAGGGUUUCCGCCCUUCAGUGCUGCAGCUAACGCAUUAAGCAUUCCGCCUGGGGAGUACGGCCGCAAGGCUGAAACUCAAAGGAAUUGACGGGGGCCCGCACAAGCGGUGGAGCAUGUGGUUUAAUUCGAAGCUACGCGAAGAACCUUACCAGGUCUUGACAUACUAUGCAAAUCUAAGAGAUUAGACGUUCCCUUCGGGGACAUGGAUACAGGUGGUGCAUGGUUGUCGUCAGCUCGUGUCGUGAGAUGUUGGGUUAAGUCCCGCAACGAGCGCAACCCUUAUUAUCAGUUGCCAGCAUUAAGUUGGGCACUCUGGUGAGACUGCCGGUGACAAACCGGAGGAAGGUGGGGAUGACGUCAAAUCAUCAUGCCCCUUAUGACCUGGGCUACACACGUGCUACAAUGGAUGGUACAACGAGUUGCGAACUCGCGAGAGUAAGCUAAUCUCUUAAAGCCAUUCUCAGUUCGGAUUGUAGGCUGCAACUCGCCUACAUGAAGUCGGAAUCGCUAGUAAUCGCGGAUCAGCAUGCCGCGGUGAAUACGUUCCCGGGCCUUGUACACACCGCCCGUCACACCAUGAGAGUUGUAACACCCAAAGUCGGUGGGUAACCUUUAGAACC
rnacentral:rRNA from 1 species